GGGUUCUAUUUUUUUCAACUAUUUUUGUAGUGUGACUGUUAGGUGCUUAUGUUCAUGAAAUUCAUAUCCUGGCCCUUCAAUUUAAGUGUUUAGCCCUUUUAUGAUUAGAAGAGAUGGGUGCUGGACACUUCACAAUAACAAAAGUCUACUGAAUAUUGAUGAGCAUCAUGCAUGCAUCCUUGUAACAGCAAAAUGAGAGUUGACAUUCUAUAUUGAGUUUUCCUGCAUUUUUUCCCUAUUUUUCUCUCAUGGCUUACUUUAGUUGCCAGUAUAGAUUUAGAAAACCAUUUUAUCGUUUUUCCGAUUUGAGUUAGAAAGGUUAGAUUAGAAUGAUACCAUUGGCCUGAGAUGGCAGGGAAGUUAUAUGUAACAUGCUGUUGUAGGGUGUAACUAUUACUUUUGACUUGUAA
rnacentral:misc_RNA from 1 species